NAACUAGUCAAAACAGGCAAAAUGCUACUAUAGUAUGUCCCCCCGAAACUAAGUGAGCUACUUCAAAACAGCUAUUAGAGCCAACCCAUCUCUGUUGCAAAAGAGUGGGACGAUUUUCAAGUAGAGGUGACAAGCCUAUCGAACUUAGAGAUAGCUGGUUGUUAGGUAAAAGAAUAUAAGUUCUAUCUUAAGUUUUAUGCCGUGCCCAAAUCACAAAAUUAAACUUAAAGGCUAUUCAAAUAAGGUACAGCUUAUUUGACUCAGGAUACAACCUAAAAGAUAGGGUAACCUACAUAUUUUGAACAAGUCGGCCUGAAGGCAGCCAUCUUUAAGAAAGCGUCAAAGCUUAUUCAUAUUUCCAACCCAAUAUUAACCAAAUUACUAAACCCAUCUUACCCCACCAAACAACUUUAUAUGUAUAUAAAAAAUAUUAUGUUAAUACUAGUAAUAAGAGACA
rnacentral:rRNA from 1 species